rnacentral:lncRNA from 1 species
UUUAGAUCGAACAUCAGGGGGACAAGCUGGAGUUGGCGAGAGAGAAACAUCAGGCUUCCCAGAAGGAAAAUAAACAACUGAGUCAGAAGGUGGAUGAACUGGAGAGGAAACUGGAGGCCACCAGCACCCAGAAUGUCGAGUUCCUACAGGUGAUUGCCAAGAGGGAGGAGGCAAUCCACCAGGCUCAGCUGCGGCUGGAGGAGAAAACGAGGGAGUGUGGGUCCUUGGCGAGGCAGUUGGAGAGUGCCAUUGAAGAUGCCAGGCGACAGGUGGAGCAAACCAAGGAACAGGCGCUCUCCAAGGAACGAGCAGCCCAGAGCAAAAUCCUGGACCUUGAGACCCAGCUGAGUAGGACCAAGACAGAACUUGGCCAGCUACGCCGGACUCGUGAUGAUGUGGAUCGAAGAUACCAGAGCCGUCUGCAGGAUCUGAAAGAUCGCCUGGAGCAGUCUGAAAGCACCAACCGCAGCAUGCAGAAUUACGUCCAAUUCCUCAAGUCCUCCUAUGCAAAUGUGUUUGGGGAUGGGCCCUAUACAUCCUCCUACCUGACCAGCUCACCCAUCCGCUCUCGGUCUCCUCCUGCCUGAGGCCACCUAUCCAGGGUCUGAAGCCCUUGCAGGAUGCCAGACAACUGUGGCGUUACCAAACCAUAGCUAGCAAGCCCACUGGGUCUCAGAUGCGAUCAGGGGUCUGUUCCUCAACUAAUGCCAGCAAAGACCCUAGAGCAGCCAGGGAUGAAUCAGGAGGGCUCUGGUUCUCUCUCCUGAUCUGGGAACCUGGUGGAAUUUUCUAAUGAUCUUCACAGCCUUAUAUUUGCUAUAUUAGGUACUAGAUUUUUAAAUCCCUGUGACUAGAGUCUUCUUCCUUUCCUCAGGGAAUGUUUGUACAGACUUCCUGCAGAGACGCCCUUCUCUUCUGAAGCGUCUCUGUCUUGGGUUUCUUUGAGCUGAAGUUGCAGGAGUCCUUCUCUGACUCUGAAGGCCUACAUUGCUUUUUCUUUCCUUUUUAUUUAUUUAUUUUUUAUUUUUAAUAAAAAUAGAACUUUAUUUGUAUUAAGAAAUAGUGAGGGGUUGGGGAUUUAGCUCAGUAGUAGAGCGCUUGCCUAGCAAGCGCAAGGCCCUGGGUUUGGUCCCCAGCUCCGAAAAAAAGAAAAGGAAAAAAAAAUAGUGAAAACAUGUAAAUUAGUAACUAAGCCUGUGCUUUUAUCAGCAUAAAAACAUGACAGAGAGAGAGAUGCAACGUUCGUUAGAGCUCAUGGAGGUAAGAGGCUCAUAGCUCCUAGCUCCCGUGGAACCUGUAGCUACAAAUGUCAUGAAAAUAUGUUGUUGUAAUAAGUCCCUCAUUACAUAGCAACUGGCAUGUCAGAGCUACAGCAGGUGUGUUCACAGUGAAAUGUUUGAACACAGACCAAACUGUGUGGCACGUGUGCUUGUAACCGUAUGUUCUGGUUUCACAGUUCUGGUAACACUAACUGACCACCUCUUACUGCAAGUAAAGUAUAGAGCAGUGCAGGAAUCCGCCCAUCAUCCCCUCACAGAGGCCGUGGUGAUCUGUGUUGUUCCAGCAUUGAUGGAUAUGCUACUGAAGGGGAAUCUGCUUUUCUCUCCUUGGUGAGCAGGGCAGGAAGCAGUGUUUUCCACAGUGCCAAUGGAAACCUCCCAUGUCUGCCUUUUCUAUAGGCCACUGGUCCUCAAGCUCGUCACAGACGCUCAUGGCCAUGCAGCCUGACAUUCAAAUUCCUAUCUCAUUAUUUAUCCUUUCUUUGCAUCUCUGGGAUUCAUUGAUUUUUGACAUUUUUGUGUGGUUUUACAGGAAAUAAAGUUUUUAUAGUCAGUUAUGUCAGACUCCUCUGAUUUCCCUUAUCACCCUCUCCUUAUUUUAAAAAUGAUGAAGCUGAGGGAGGUGACACACACACCUGUCAUAAUCACUUGGGAGCUGGAGGCAAAAGGAUCAGUUCAGUCAGUGUUAGCCACAGCUACAGAGUGGUUGAGGCCAGCCUGGGCUACAUGAGAGCAUGUCUUUAUUCAGACAAUCAUUUUUAAAUGACUGAAUAAAGUCAGAGUUGGAGAACAUU